CCUACGGGUGGCAGCAGUAGGGAAUUUUCGUCAAUGGGCGCAAGCCUGAACGAGCGAUGCCGCGUGAGUGAAGAAGGCCUUCGGGUCGUAAAGCUCUGUUGCGGGGGAAAAAAGGCAGCAUCAGGAAAUGGGUGCUGACUGAUGGUGCCCCGCCAGAAAGUCACGGCUAACUACGUGCCAGCAGCCGCGGUAAUACGUAGGUGGCGAGCGUUAUCCGGAUUGAUUGGGUUAAAAGGGUGCGCAGGCGGCCUGUUAAGUCAGCGGUAAAAGCCCGGGGCUCAACCCCGACGAGCCGUUGAAACUGGCGGGCUGGAGUUGGAGAGAAGUACGCGGAAUGCGCGGUGUAGCGGUGAAAUGCUUAGAUAUCGCGCAGAACCCCGAUUGCGAAGGCAGCGUACCGGCUCCACACUGACGCUGAGGCACGAAAGCGUGGGUAUCGAACAGGAUUAGAUACCCUAGUAGUC
rnacentral:rRNA from 1 species